GGUGAUAGUAGCUAUUGGUGAUUCUCGACGAAGGACUUUCUUGGAAACAAGCAUAUUGCCUCUAUAGUCUAUACCCACAUGACCAUAUAUAGGGCGAGGCAACCACAGAGAAGAGAAGCACGAAAAGUUGCACAGUAGCGAUCUAAAAAAGAAAAAUCAAGAUUUGGGUUUGGUUUGAUAUUUAGAGAAAAGAAAUGGGUUUCUCAGAGGUAGAGAAAGCAUGCAAGGAGCACCCAUACCACAAUCAAAAGCAAGGGGUUUGUCCAUCAUGUUUAAGAGAAAGAUUAUCUCAACUUUAUGUAGUUGUUUCAAGCAACAAAGAAGCAGUGGCACCAUCUUCUUCUUCGAUGUCUUUUUCCUCUGCUUCAUCUUCGACCCAUAUAUCUCCAGUUAUUCAUCAUCAUCGUCAUCAGCGAAACAUUUCUGAUAUUAUGGGUUCCUUAUCUUUCAGGGUAAGUGCAGGAAGUGGGUUAAAGAAGAGUAGAUCGAUUGCUUUUGUGUCGAGAAGCAGCCUUGUUGGAGAGUUGAAGCACGGGACGAAGAAGAAUAAGAAAGGUUUUUGGUCAAAGUUACUUCAUUUGAAGGGAAAGAAUAAGGAGGCUAAUAUUGGUGGAAAGAUCGCUUUGAAUGUAUAGACUUUGCUUCAAAAAAGGAAGGAGGGGUAGCGGUACCGAAGUUGUCUCCAUGGCUACGUGCUCUCAAGCUCUCGAGUUCGAGAUUCAGGAUUUCAAGUCCUUUAAUUUGAAUUAUAGUCAGAAUCAAUUGUACCAAACAAAAACAAAAAGAAGGGCUUUUAGAAACUAUAAGAUGUUUAUAUAGCUUUAUUUUGUGUUAUAUAUGAAAAUCUGGAUCUUUU
rnacentral:misc_RNA from 1 species